UACAGCGGUCUCAACCGUUGUUCGGAUUCAUUGGGCGUAAAGGGUGCGUAGGCGGUCGUGCAAGUCGGAUGUGAAAUCUCGGGGCUCAACCCCGAAACUGCACUUGAUACUGCCUUGCUAGAGUACUGGAGAGGAGACUGGAAUUUACGGUGUAGCAGUGAAAUGCGUAGAUAUCGUAAGGAAGACCAGUGGCGAAGGCGAAUCUCUGGACAGUUACUGACACUGAGGCACGAAGGCCAGGGGAGCAAACGGG
rnacentral:rRNA from 1 species